UUUGUCCUUCAUGGUGCACCAUAGGCUAACAUUCAUGGCCACCACCUGUCUGUUGAGCUGUGAUUGGUCCAUGAGGCUGACAAAUAGCAGCUGUGGGAGUCCCAGCUAGAUGAUGGUUUCAUGGUUUGACCUUGGUGGUGGAAUGAGUUCUGACCCUGGGCCACUAGAGGUAACAUGAGGGGUUAGAAACAUCAUGUGUUUGUCCCAGGGAGAACUAACUUUUUGUCCCUUGGUGGUUGGACCUGGCUGGAGGUGGCUGCCUCCCCCCUUCAUCCUUGUGGUAGCUGGUGGGUGCCAUAUACAGUAGUAGCAUUGUGUAAGGGAGGGAGGGGGCUGUUUUGGCCUACAAGUGAUGGUGUCCUGCCCAGGUGCACCUCCUCUGUCUUGUAUUUUCUUUUAAUCCCUGUUGGUUGUGGUGUGUUUAUUGGGGCCCUGAGCAGGUACUCCUGGUGAAGGUUGCAUUGGAGAUCUCCCUUGGCGUUGUUAGUUGGCUACCCAGCGGGGCUGAGGAGUCCCUGGAGGGAGCUGCCCUCAAUCAGUGUUGGAGCAUGGUCCAACUGUCAGAGUACAUUGUACCCUUCUCUGGGUUUUUUAUUUCUUUGUAUUGUUUUUUUUAUGAAACUUGUCAAGUCUUUAAUUUUUAAAUCUAGUCUCCAUUUGGGGUGCAAAUGUAAGGGGGCAUUUGGUCACAUUAGCAACUACAGAGUCAAUGUUGUAAACAAACUGUUUUACUAAUUUUAUUGACAACAGAAAUCCAGAGAGUUUAACAUUUCAAAUGUUACAUUUGAGUAAGAAUGUAAAAUAUUCUGGUCAAACUGUCACGUCUUUGACUGAUGUCCGUGUUUUGAUACAGAGUGAGAGCUCGUCCCGCUCCUACUCUUUGAAGCUUCAUUACGUCACUGGCUGCCCUUUUAAAGGGACCCGCAGCCGCCGCAAGUCCUGACCUGCACACGCACGAGGCUCCAGGGAAAUGAAUGAAGCUGCGCGCGCAUCAUCCACUGGUCUCAGCGCACGCGCUCCUUCCAAUGAAACGUCUUUCAUGUCCCAUAAAAGUUUCAUGUAAAGCUGA